AGAGUUUGAUCAUGGCUCAGAACGAACGCUGGCGGCAGGCUUAACACAUGCAAGUCGAACGCCCCGCAAGGGGAGUGGCAGACGGGUGAGUAACGCGUGGGAACAUACCCCUCGGUUCGGAAUAGCUCAGGGAAACUUGGAUUAAUACCGAAUACGGUCGAGAGGCGAAAGAUUUAUCGCCGAGGGAUUGGCCCGCGUCCGAUUAGCUAGUUGGUGAGGUAACGGCUCACCAAGGCGACGAUCGGUAGCUGGUCUGAGAGGAUGAUCAGCCACAUUGGGACUGAGACACGGCCCAAACUCCUACGGGAGGCAGCAGUGGGGAAUAUUGGACAAUGGGCGAAAGCCUGAUCCAGCCAUGCCGCGUGAGUGAUGACGGCCUUAGGGUUGUAAAGCUCUUUCGUCAGGGACGAUAAUGACGGUACCUGAAGAAGAAGCCCCGGCUAACUUCGUGCCAGCAGCCGCGGUAAUACGAAGGGGGCUAGCGUUGUUCGGAAUUACUGGGCGUAAAGCGCGUGUAGGCGGGUCUUUAAGUCAGGGGUGAAAUGCCAGGGCUCAACCUUGGAACUGCCUUUGAUACUGGAGAUCUUGAGUCCGGGAGAGGUGAGUGGAACUGCGAGUGUAGAGGUGAAAUUCGUAGAUAUUCGCAAGAACACCAGUGGCGAAGGCGGCUCACUGGCCCGGGUACUGACGCUGAGAUGCGAAAGCGUGGGGAGCAAACAGGAUUAGAUACCCUAGUAGUCC
rnacentral:rRNA from 1 species